UCUUCGCUAGUAUAUCGGUUAGUAUAAUCGCCUCUCAAGUGGGAGACUCCUCGGUCUUAAUCGACUGUAGUGAUCGCGAUAGAGCAGGGUUCGACUCCCUGGCGGAGAA